GAUGAACGCUGGCGGCGUGCCUAAUACAUGCAAGUCGAGCGAACGGACGAGAAGCUUGCUUCUCUGAUGUUAGCGGCGGACGGGUGAGUAACACAUGGAUAACCUACCUAUAAGACUGGGAUAACUUCGGGAAACCGGAGCUAAUACCGGAUGAUAUUUUGAACCGCAUGGUUCAAAAGUGAAAGACGGUCUUGCUGUCACUUAUAGAUGGAUCCGCGCUGCAUUAGCUAGUUGGUAAGGUAACGGCUUACCAAGGCAACGAUGCAUAGCCGACCUGAGAGGGUGAUCGGCCACACUGGAACUGAGACACGGUCCAGACUCCUACGGGAGGCAGCAGUAGGGAAUCUUCCGCAAUGGGCGAAAGCCUGACGGAGCAACGCCGCGUGAGUGAUGAAGGUCUUCGGAUCGUAAAACUCUGUUAUUAGGAAAGAACAUAUGUGUAAGUAACUGUGCACAUCUUGACGGUACCUAAUCAGAAAGCCACGGCUAACUACGUG
rnacentral:rRNA from 1 species